rnacentral:rRNA from 1 species
CCUACGGGAGACAGCAGUGGGGAAUCUUGCACAAUGGGGGGAACCCUGAUGCAGCAACGCCGCGUGGGUGAAGAAGUACUUCGUUAUGUAAAGCCCUGUCAGCAGGGAAGAAAAUGACGGUACCUGACCAAGAAGCCCCGGCUAACUACGUGCCAGCAGCCGCGGUAAUACGUAGGGGGCAAGCGUUAUCCGGAUGUACUGGGUGUAACGGGAGCGUAGACGGCAAGGCAUGUCUGGAUUGAAAGCCCGUGGCUCAACCACGGGACUGCUUUGGAAACUGUGUUGCUAGAGUGCAGGAGGGGUAAGCGGAAUUGCUAGUGUAGCGGUGAAAUGCGUAGAUAGUAGGAGGAACACCGGUGGCGAAGGCGGCUUACUGGACUGUAACUGACGUUGAGGCUCGAAGGCGUGGGGAGCAAACAGGAUUAGAUACCCCUGUAGUC